CAACAGGGAUUGCCUUAGUAACGGCGAGUGAAGCGGCAAAAGCUCAAAUUUGAAAUCUGGCACCUUCGGUGUCCGAGUUGUAAUUUGAAGAAGGUAACUUUGGAGUUGGCUCUUGUCUAUGUUCCUUGGAACAGGACGUCACAGAGGGUGAGAAUCCCGUGCGAUGAGAUGCCCAAUUCUAUGUAAAGUGCUUUCGAAGAGUCGAGUUGUUUGGGAAUGCAGCUCUAAGUGGGUGGUAAAUUCCAUCUAAAGCUAAAUAUUGGCGAGAGACCGAUAGCGAACAAGUACAGUGAUGGAAAGAUGAAAAGAACUUUGAAAAGAGAGUGAAAAAGUACGUGAAAUUGUUGAAAGGGAAGGGCUUGAGAUCAGACUUGGUAUUUUGCGAUCCUUUCCUUUUUGGUUGGGUUCUCCGCAGCUUACUGGGCCAGCAUCGGUUUGGACGGUAGGAUAAUGAUUAAGGAAUGUGGCUCUGCUUCGGUGGAGUGUUAUAGCCUUGGUUGAUGCUGCCUGUCUAGACCGAGGACUGCGUCUUUUGACUAGGAUGUUGGCAUAAUGAUCUUAAGCC
rnacentral:rRNA from 1 species